rnacentral:rRNA from 1 species
AACGGCCGUACCAUGCUGAAUAUACCGGUUCUCGUUAGUUCACCGAAGUCAAGACUCAUUGGGCGCGGUCAGUACUUGGGUGGGUGACCACCUGGGAACACCGCGUGCCGUU